CAAGUGCCUCGUUAGGUGAGGGUUCUGCACGGAUAUAGGCCACUGACGUCGAACGAUGCCCAGGAGCAGGACAGUUCCUCCCAGAUUAAGGAGUUUGAGCCUAAAUUGUUUCCGGCUCUCAUUGAGCUGUACAUGUCGUUUGGUGCCAAAGCUCUGACGAUAGGGAGGCCGU
rnacentral:sRNA from 15 species